AGCGCCGCGGGCCUGUCAGGUGAGCUCAGCCCCCAGCGCGUGUGAGCCUACGGAACGCUGGGGCUGAGGCGGCAUGGCUCCGGACCGGGGCCUGGCCUCGGCGACACCGUGGCCGCGGGAGAAGCCCAGGACAGGGACCCAGGCGGGGGCUCCCGGCCCCGGUACCGUCGGAGCCCGCCGCUUCCUGCUUUGUCUCUACCUGGUGGGAUUCCUGGAGUUGUUUGGUGUGAGCACGGUCGUCCCUUUACUGAGCCUUCGUGUCAAGUCUUUUGGAGCGAGUCCAACAGUUGCUGGAAUAGUAGGCUCCUCCUGCGGCGUUUUGCAGUUCUUUUCCAGCACAUUGGUGGAGGAUGCUGCGUUAAGAGGGGCUUGAGGAAAAGAAUGGAGCAGCCGUAAUGUCGGAUGGAACGGGCUGGUCUGUGGGGAGGCCAGCUAAGGAGCCACGGAAAUGACCCUGAUAGACAUAAUAUCAUCAUUUAAGAAGAAGAAUCUUGGGACUUCCCUGGUGGCACAGUGGUUAAGAAUCUGCCUGCCAAUGCAGGGGACACAGGUUCGAGCCCUGGUCCAGGAAGAUCCCACGUGCCGCAGAGAAACUAAGCCCAUUGGCCACAACUACUGAGCCUGAGUUCUAGAGCUCACAAGCCAUAACUACUGAGCCCAUGCACCUAGAGCCCGUGCUGUGCAACAAAAGAAGCCACCGCAAUGAGAAGCCUGUACACCACAACGAAGAGUAGCCCCUGCUCGCUGCAACUAGAGAAAGCCCACGCGCAGCAACGAAGACCCAACGCAGCCAAAAAUAAAAUAUUAAUUAAUUAAUUUUUUAAAAAAAGAAGAAGAAUCUUAAAGAAUAACACUUAGGAAUUAUUCAAUAUUUUUUAAUAAUUCAAAAAUCUAAAACAUUGAUUUCAGUGUCAAAAUCAUUCAUACAAGUUUAAUCAUGCACAAGUUUUUUCAGGGUCUAUUCAUGCAAUUAUUUAAGGAGGAAAGACCAGAGUAGCUUGCAAUGCUAUCACUUUAUUAUUUCUAAUACUCCAUAAAUUAAUAUAGGAUUUUUUUUCCAACAAAAACUUUAGCUGCAUUUUGCUAUUAUGGUCUAUUCUUUUAAAUACCUCCUUAGAAACAUUUACAAAGACACCAUUUAUAAUAUGUAUGUACAUACAAUUGAUCCUCAUUAUUCAGGGCUUCCAUAUUUGCAAGCUCAACUACUUGCUAAAAUUUAUAAACACAUUAUCAGUACUCAUCGCACUGUCCUAGUCAUUCACAGACAUGUGCAAAGUGGAGAAAAACUUGAGUCGCUGGGCAUGCACAUUCCCAAAUGAGGUCAAACUCAUCUGCCCCCUUGUCUCAGCUCUCAUGCUGUAAAAAAAAAUGUCCUUUUCACAGCCUAUUUAGUGCCAUGUUUUUCACAUUUUUGUGCUUUUUAUGGGUGAUCUUGCUGUUCUAAAUGGUCCCCAAGCAUAGCUCUGAAGUGCUGUCUAGUGUUCCUAAGCGCAGGAAGUUCCCAAGUUUUAACUCUACUUUUUCUGAAGGAUAUUUUAGCAGGAUAUGGAGCUCUAAGUUCAGUUACAUUUUUUCAGAAUUUUUGAAGCUACCAAUGGUGUCCACUGGUUUUGCUGAAAAAUCGGUUGCCAGGUUUUUUUUCUCUUUUGAAGAAAAUAAGUCUCUUUUUCCCUCUGAGUAUGUUUAAGAGGUUCUCUUUGUGUUUUUUUACUUUUAGUGGUUUUACUAGCAGGUAUCUCAUUUGGUUCUCUCCCUAUCUAAUCUGCUUGGGGUUGUCACAGUUCAUAUCCUUUAUCUAUUUGGGGAAGUUCUCAGUCAUUAUCUCUUAAAAUAUUGCUUCUACCAAUUUCUCUCUCAUCUCCUUCUGGAACUUUUCACUAUAUAUAUAUGAAAUUAUCCCAUAUAUUUCUUUUUCAUCUUUUCUUCAUGCUGGUUAUUUCCUUCUGUCCUAUCUUCCAAUUAAUCACUUCUCUCUUCAGCUGUGUCUAAUCUGUUUUUCUACCUACCAAAUGAGAUCCUAAAUUUAGUUACUUUAUUUUUAGCUCAAAUAUUCCACUUAGAUAUUUUUUGUUUAUAUAGUCUCCAUGAGGAUGCCAAAAGUGUCAAUGCCAUUUUCUUUCCUUAAACAUGUUAUUGUUUCUAUUUUAAAGUCACUAUCUGAUAAAUCAAUUAUCUGAAUCCCCUUUGUGCCUAUUAUUACUCUAUGUUUUGUUGAUCUUUUCCUCAAUAUUUUCAGUCACAUUUCCUUGUCUACUCAUAUGCUUGGUUAUUUUGGAUUGAGUGCUAGACAUUAUAUAUAAAAAAAAUCAUGAAGAUAGUUUAACACUCUUUACAAUAUUAUUUCCUCCAGAGAAGAUUUAAAUGUACUUCCCUUGAGCAGCUGAGAUAGAGGCAAUCUCAGUCUCUGAUGAUUUAAACAAUCAUGAAUUGAGAUAAUUCUAGGCUGGACUUCUUUCCUUUGAGGGUUAAGGUGUAGGAUUUUGAAGGAAAACCUAGAGCUGAGUACAUACAAAUGCUCCUCCUUCUUCGUAGGUUCUGAAUUCCCAUUUUAUUCUCUAAGACCAAUUAGUCUGUCAAAACCUCUGUUUUAGCUUUUUAGAGUCUCAGAUACAUUCUCUGUAUCCCAGAGAGAAAAUGGCAACAAAUACCAGUUCUAUCCUCUUGAACUUCCCGCUUUUUUGACUCUUGGCCAAGAAAUUCCUCACUGUAAGGGUACUCUCCAGCUUUCAAGCAGAUAUUUAAAAUAUACUUUGGACGAAACAUACUUUGUCCUUUUACCUCUAGUUUUCUCAGAAGGUAGUUGGUCUGGCCCUCGGUUCAUUAUUGCCAGAAAUAUGACUCCCUAUUGCCUUCCUUUUUUGCUUCUAUCUUCCUCUAAAGAAAACAUUUCAGGAGAGGUGGAAUGGUCAAUAUGGCAAUCAUUUACCCAGCUAUGUAGCUAUCCAUUAAUUUUGUUACCUACUUUCCCUAACCCUAAACGUUUGCCUUUACUGGCUUCUACCACUGGCUUCAAAAUGAACUGUGAACAGAGGUAAAAGUGAGAUUUCCUUCUUCUAUGACCACAAAGGCAAUGGCUCCCUUUUGAGAAGCUGGAUAGUUGAAUUAUUGCUUGCUGCAAGCACAAAAGGAACAGUGCAUAAGAAAGAUCGUAAAUUGUAAAGCUAGAGUAAACUGUAGGAUCAAGUCUAGCCCCAUUUUCUACUUGAAGAAACUCAGCAUCAGGGAAACAGAUGGACCAGCUUAAGGUCACACAGUGAGUAACUUGCAGAGCUGGGACUAUAAAGCAGUCAUUCUGCUCAAGCACCACCAUUUCCAAUUCAGAAUAACGCCUUUAUGUCUGAGCCAUCCUGACCACUACCUUCUUUUUAUUCUGGGUUGUGUAAACUACCACAGUUUUUAUAGGGGACUAUAGUCCUAGUAAAAAUCACAGUUUAUAAGGUCGGGUGUGAUUUGGAGCUUCCUCUCUCAUUUCAACCGUCCCAUAGAUAGCAUUUUGAUUUAGGUGACAUUUAGCUUAAAGGAGCUUCAUUCAGGCUCAUCGGUGAAAGAAGAAAUCAGUGGAACCCGUAAUCUGUCAUUUUUGUGUAGUGGAGGAAUGAUGCUUACAUGAUAAACUCGUUUGCUAAUCUGCUAACAGUAUUUACUGUCCUGCUGUGGAUUUGCUGUAAGAGUCUGCUGUAAGACGUUUAAGUCUCUACAUUCUGGGUCUUCAUUUCCUCAUUUUUAAAAUUAGGGAGACAGACUAGGUCAAUGCAUCUCAAUCCUGGAUGCAUACUAGAAACUUCCAUACGCUUAUUAUAUACUUAUAAAUAAACCUAUACCUGGGCCUCAACCCCAGAGAUCCUGAUUGUAUCGGUCUGGGCGGGGGUGGGGGCAGGCAUACGUAUUGUUUAAAUGCUCCUACAGUUUUUCUAAUGUACAGCGUGGGUUGAGGACCACUGCACGAGAUGAUCACUGAUGAUCUUUCCAAGACUUAAACUAUGACUCUGCAAAUAAUCCAUGAGGAAAUAGCUUUGUAAUUACAUGCAUAUUUAUAAUUGCAAAUUAUAACACACCUUAAAAUAUUCCAUUUCAAAAUGCUUGCUAAAGAGGCUUUACUUUCAGAACACACUGAAUUGCCCAAAGCAAAUAUCAUAAAGGCAUAAUCAUCCUAAACAUGACAAAGUACUUUCUGACUGGUCCACUCUGCAAUAACACAACAUGGGGUGAUGUGACAUGACAGAACAUAACAUAAUGGACACACUUCCAGGCUUUCACAUUUUAACCAGGAUCUUGUGCUGCUGUGAGGUCUUAAGGAAUCAUGUUAGGAAAUAAGUCAAAUUUGCUGUUAUUACUGGUUUCACAAAACUAUAAAGACAUACUUAGUAAUACUAACUUUCAUUUGCAAAACAGGACUUACUUCAGAG